AUGGAGGCAUAUUCCACACCUAAGCCACCUUUGCAAGGGACAAAAUUUGACACCCCGGAGAGCGCACGUGACCACUACAGCACCUACGCACGCAGGACUGGCUUUGCAAUUAGGCAGCAAUUCAAGAAAGAGAGGGUUGAUGGAACUAUAAGCAGGGUGCUACUAGUUUGUACAAAAUAUGGCAAACGACGCAAGGACAGGGAUGAGCUGCAAGAUGUGGAAAACCCAGCCAGCAUUGUCAAGAAGAGGAAAAAAAAUAAAGUUGUUAGGACUGAAUGUGAAGCGCACAUGUACCUAUCCCACGAUGAUGCAUGGUGGACUGUUGACCGUUUCGAGGACACCCACAAUCACCCCUUGAUCAAAAAGCCUUCCCUAACAAAAUUCUUAUCAUCACAUCGGUACAUUCCGAAAGAGGAGCAGGACUUCUUGAGGGUUCUGCACGGAUGCAACAUUGAGACUGCGAGGCAGAUGUAGCUGAUGUCAUGGUUCUACGGGAGCGCUAAAGACGUACCCUACACGACACACGACAUUAUCAACGAGCUAAGUUCCGCUUAG
rnacentral:rRNA from 1 species